UACGGGGGGGGCAAGCGUUGUUCGGAAUUACUGGGCGUAAAGGGCGCGUAGGCGGUUGGAUAAGUCAGCUGUGAAAACCUGCAGCUUAACUGUGGGCUUGCGGUCGAUACGGGCAGACUGGAGGUAUGCAGGGGAGAACGGAAUUCCUGGUGUAGCGGUGAAAUGCGCAGAUAUCAGGAGGAACACCGGUGGCGAAGGCGGUUCUCUGGGCAUGACCUGACGCUGAGGAGCGAAAGUGUGGGGAGCGAACAGG
rnacentral:rRNA from 1 species